rnacentral:rRNA from 1 species
CCUACGGGUGACAGCAGUGGGGAAUAUUGCUCAAUGGGCGAAAGCCUGACGCAGCGACGCCGCGUGAGGGAUGAAGGUCUUCGGAUCGUAAACCUCUUUUAGCAGGGAAGAACGGUCACUUUGCUAAUCAGCGGUGAAUUGACGGUACCUGCAAGGAAAGCACCGUCUAACUCCGUGCGCGCAGCCGCGGUAAUACGGAGGUGGCGAGCGUUAAUCGGAAUUACUGGGCGUAAAGAGCUCGUAGGCGGUAUGUCAGGUCAGGGGUGAAAUCCCCGCGCUCAACGUGGGAACUGCCUUUGAAACUGGCAAACUGGAGUGUGUGAGAGGAAAGUGGAAUUCCAGGUGUAGGAGUGAAAUCCGUAGAGAUCAGGAGGAACAUCAGUGGCGAAGGCGACUAUCUGGCACAUAACUGACGCUGAGGCGCGAAAGCGUGGGUAGCAAACAGGAUUAGAUACCCCGGUAGUC